rnacentral:rRNA from 1 species
UAUCUCUGUAGAGUCUGCAUAUCAAUAAGCGGAGGAAAAGAAACUAACAAGGAUUCCCCUAGUAACGGCGAGUGAAGCGGGAAGAGCUCAAAUUUGAAAUCUUCAAGGUUUGACCUUGACGAAUUGUAGUUUAAAGAAGUGUUUUCGGUUAGAGGAGUAGUAAAAGUUCUUUGGAAUAGGACAUCAUAGAGGGUGAGAAUCCCGUAUUUGACUAUUCUUUCUAGCUUUGUGAUACACUUUCAAAGAGUCGGAUUGUUUGGGAAUGCAGUCCAAAAUGGGUGGUAAAUUUCAUCUAAAGCUAAAUAUUGGCGAGAGACCGAUAGCGAACAAGUACCGUGAGGGAAAGAUGAAAAGAACUUUGAAAAGAGAGUUAAACAGUACGUGAAAUUGUCAAAAGGGAAGCGUUUGACACCAGUGUUGUUUUUCCGAAAAUCAAUUAAAAAUUGAUUCAUGCCAGGUUGUAUUGACCUUAUCAGCUUGCAAUUUGGUUUUGGGUCUCUUUUUGGAUGCACUUUUCGGUUAACAAGUCAACAUCAAUUUCCUUUGCUGUAAAAAGGUAAGAGGAAGGUGGCUUCAAUUUCGGUUGAAGUGUUUAUAGCCUUUUAUCUCUGCAGUCGGGGAGAUUGAGGUCUGCAGCGUAGAUCCUUCGGGGCUAGAUACAUUUAUGCUAAGUUAUAGCUUUUCAUAGACAACUUGUUGACUAUGUUUAGUCAUGUAGCUUACUCGUAAGUGCUAUUUUACCUACGCUUAGGAUGUUGAAGACUCUACAGAGAUA